UUUAAUAUUCUAGUUUAUUUUGUACUUUUAUUGAGAGAUAAUUUUACACUUGGAGCACCCUUUUGAAUAUGUAUUGAUAUUUUUUUGUAUGUCUCUAUAUGGGUUGUGCCAAGUGAAAAUUUUGUAAUGAAGAACUUACUAUAAAUGUAAGGCAUAGAGUGUGGUUUGGGAAGGUUGAGUGACUUUUUGUAAUGUGUACUCACAAGCAAUGUAAGCUGAAGACGAGGGUAAAAUAUGGGAGAUUCAGCUUCUUGAAAUUGGAUCAAUAUUGAUAUUUACAAGCAUGGAAAAGUUUCAGUAGCAAAGGUAUUAUUCAAAUUAGAAAUUGUUGUUUGAAUGAUAUUGUACUAAUGCGAUAUAAGUUUGAACAAAAUUUUAAUAAUAUUUUGCAGGUUGUAUUGAUUCUUAGCAAGCUUGCUAAAUUUAGAAGUUUUUACUUCUCUUGGAACAUGAAGUACUAUUUAUCGGUAUAUUUUCUUUUUUAUUUUUAUUUCUUUCUAACUUAAAUUUUUGUUUGAGAACACAGGUUUUAUAAAGUAGCAGCAGCUUUUCUUGAAGAGAAAAGGGAGGUAGUAAGUACCUAUAGGCGUAGAAGAUGGCUAGUUUUAUAGGUUCUAAAUAUUUAGGAAAGUGAUAUAAUUAUAUUAUAUUAUAUUAUUAAGUACUAUAUACGUAAUAUACAUGUGUAUGUAUACAUGUCUAUAUAAGUAUUAUAUUAUAUAUUAUAUUAUAUAUAUAAUAUACGUAUGUAUGUAUAGAUACACAUUAUAUUAUAUAUAUUAUAUAAAAUGUGUUAUAUAUGUUUACAGAUAGUUAUUAAACUUUAAUUGGAAUAUUGUAGUUUUUUGUAUUGGUUUUCCUUGAUGAAUGUGUUGUAUAUGUGUGUUAUUUUUUUGUUAUUUUGUGAUGUUUCUUCGGAAUGUUGUAAUAUUUGUUUUGAAUGUGAUGUUUCGUUGGAAUAUUGUAAUUUUUUUUAUGAAUGUUGAUUUUGUUUGAGAAUGUGAUGUUUUGUUGAUGAAUGUGAUUGUAAUUUUUUUGUGUUGUUUUUUUAUUUUGUUAUAUAUGUUUGGAUGUUUUGUUAUUAUGUUUCGUUGGUGGUUGAUGUCCUACUUAUUAUGAUAUGAAUUUUGAAUUAGUUUUUUCGUGUAUCUAUUUAGUGUAUUUGCUAUAUUGUAUUUAAUAUUCUAGUUUAUAUUGUACUUUUGUUGAGAGAUAAUUUUACACUUGGGGCACCCUUUUGAAUAUGUAUUGAUAUUUCUUUGUGUGCCAAAUGAAUUUUUUUACUAUAAAUGUAAGGCAUAGAGGGUGGUUUGGAAAGGUUGAGUGACUUUUUGUAAUGUACAACUCACAAGCAAUGUAAGCUGAAGACGAGGGUAAAAGAUGGGAGAUUCAGCUUCUUGAAAUUGGAUCAAUAUUAAUAUUAUUUACAAGCAUGAAAAUGUUUCAGUAGCAAAGGUAUUAUUUAAAUUAGAAAUUGUUGUUUGAAUGAUAUUGUACUAAUGCGAU
rnacentral:lncRNA from 1 species